GUGCCAGCCGCCGCGGUAAGACAGAGGUCCCGAGCGUUAGGCGGAAUCACUGGGCUUAAAGCGUGUGUAGGCGGAGUGCUAAGUACCUUGUGAAAUCCCACGGCUCAACCGUGGAACUGCUUGGUAUACUGGUUCUCUUGAGCCACCUAGGGGCAACCGGAACAAACGGUGGAGCGGUGAAAUGCGUAGAUAUCGUUUGGAACGCCAAGGUGAAAACAGGUUGCUGGAAGUGUGCUGACGCUGAGACACGAAAGCCAGGGGAGCAAACGGGAUUAGAUACCCCAGUAGUCC
rnacentral:rRNA from 1 species